GUUUGGGUACCAAGAAAUCUAUUACAUGAAAAUAAAUUACAAAAAAAUAUGACAUUUCCGUACAUUUUAAUAGUAAGAAAAUGAAAAAUACAUUACACGAGAUUUCCCCAAAACUCAUGAAAUCCAUUACGUGAGGUGAAGGGUGAAAAAUCUAUUACGCGCCUUGACGAAUAAUCUAUAUGAAAAAUCUUUCGCGUGCAUCUCGUUAAAAAUUCCUCUGUAUCUCCCACUAAAAAUUGCCUUCUCUCAUAAAACAAACAAGAAGCCCUACCCACUCUCUCUCUCUCCUUCCCCCUUCUCUCAUAAACCAAGCAGGAAGCCCUAACCUCUCUCUCUCUCCUUCCCCCAAAAGCAAAAAUUGCCUCUUUACCCUAAUUUUCCCAAAACACAGUUGUUGCUCUCUCCAUCAAAGAACCUCUACUUUCCGCCCUCACCAUCAAAGAAACCUGCUCUUUAGCUUUGGACAGAACGAUACCAGAUACGCUCAUCCAUCUCUUUUGGUCUUCUUCUAUUUGUUUUUCUCUCUAGAAUUCCCAAAUCUCACACAUGACAACAAUCAAGCCAAUUUUACACAAGAAGAACCAGAACCAUGUUCAACAAUCAACAAAUGCAUAUUCUUUUGAUCCUAAUCAGCAGAUGCAUAAUCACCAGAACCAUGUUCAACAAUUUCUCUCUCUCUCUCUCUCUCNNNNNNNNNNNNNNNNNNNNNNNNNNNACGUAACUAACUACUAACAAACUAAUACGACAUAUUACUUUUACGUUAGUACCUACUACUACGACAGACAGUCACUAUACUACCACAACACUAGUCUACACUUCUCUCUCUCUCUCUCUCUCUCUCUCUCUCUCUCUCUCUCUAUGUGUGUGUGAAACCCACAAACCAAGAAAAUGGAAAUACCUCCCAAAUUGUAAUAAAACAAGGGAAUAAAAAGGGCAAUCAGAAAUUGCAUCUUCAGCGAUACCUAUGAAAACAUGUCUUUCUCUCAUUUUGAGACUCUAUCAAGCAAAGUCUAAAUAGUCCUUUAUCAACAGAAAAUGCAGCAACAAUCAAACUCAACUCCCAGGCACAUAAACAAGUACAAACUUGAUAAAAUAUGUUCAAAUAGUCAUCCCAACAAGAGCUCUAUUAAUAACCAUGUUAGACUGUGAGAAAGUACAAAUAAAGUUAGAAGAGUCAAUCCAUCAGCCACUACAUGAUCAUUAUUGUGAUACAUAAAUGAUUCAUACUGAAUGAAAUGCCCCCUGAAACAAGUUCGCACCUAGUAGCCUAUAACUCAUUGCCCUCUGGAUAACUCAACCUAUGGCACUUCCAAGUUGCAGAAAACAAACUACAAUAACUCUCUGAUAGUUUCGUGCUUGAAACCAUUUGAAAGUUGGUGAAAUAGGUAAAGUUAUGGUGUUUAGCUUGAACUCUGAUAACACAUGGUCCCAAAACUCAUGGUAGGGGGCAUUUGUUUGAUCUGAAAUUAAUAAUUGAUCUUUACUCAUCCCUAUGAUCAAUGAAAUAGAAUUUGAUUUGUAGCACACAAAAAACUAUAAAUUAAACACCCCUCAAAAUUGACUCUAGACCUUGCAUUUGAGGGAUGGCUCAAAAUCAAUUAAUAUUUCUACGUCAAAAAAAUAUUAAAUAGAGCAAUAUCUACAUAAAACAAAGUGAGAGCAAUAUUAGAUAGAGUAAUAUCAGAGAUGUGUAA
rnacentral:lncRNA from 1 species